rnacentral:lncRNA from 1 species
GGCGCGGAGGGGGCGGGGCCAGUCGGGACCCCCCGAGCGCCGCCGCCAUGCCCGAGGCCAAGGCCGCUGCCAAAAAAGAGGCGAAAAAGGAGAAAAAAGAGAAAAAAGAAGAGAAAAAAGAGGAGAAAAAAGAGGAACAAAAUGAGGAGAAAAAAGACGAAAUUGGGCAAAAGGCGGCGGGGGAGGGGCCCGAGGAGCCCCCGAAAGGUGGGGGAGGGGAGCGGGAAUUUCGGGAUUUUUGGGGAAUUUUUCGGGAAUUUUUGGGGAAUUUUUGGGGAAAUUUGGGAAAUUUUGGGGAAUUUUUGGGGAUUUUUGGGGGAAAUUUGGGAGUUUUUGGGAUUUUUUGGGGAUUUUUGGGGAUUUUUUUGGGAAAUUUGGGAAUUUUUGGGGAUUUUUUGAGUUUUUUUGGGAAUUUUU